GACGAACGCUGGCGGCGUGCUUAACACAUGCAAGUCGAACGAUGAAGCUGGAGCUUGCUCCGGUGGAUUAGUGGCGAACGGGUGAGUAACACGUGAGCAAUCUGCCCUUGACUCUGGGAUAACUGCGGGAAACUGUAGCUAAUACCGGAUAUGAGGCUCGAAGGCAUCUUCGGGUCUGGAAAGAAUUUCGGUCAAGGAUGAGCUCGCGGCCUAUCAGCUUGUUGGUGAGGUAAUGGCUCACCAAGGCGACGACGGGUAGCCGGCCUGAGAGGGUGACCGGCCACACUGGGACUGAGACACGGCCCAGACUCCUACGGGAGGCAGCAGUGGGGAAUAUUGCACAAUGGGCGAAAGCCUGAUGCAGCAACGCCGCGUGAGGGAUGAAGGCCUUCGGGUUGUAAACCUCUUUUAGCAGGGAAGAAGCGAAAGUGACGGUACCUGCAGAAAAAGCACCGGCUAACUACGUGCCAGCCGCCGCGGUAA
rnacentral:rRNA from 1 species